rnacentral:rRNA from 1 species
UAGAGUUUGAUCAUGGCUCAGAUUGAACGCUGGCGGCAGGCCUAACACAUGCAAGUCGAGCGGAAACGAUGGAAGCUUGCUUCCAGGCGUCGAGCGGCGGACGGGUGAGUAAUGCAUGGGAAUCUGCCCGAUAGUGGGGGAUAACCUGGGGAAACCCAGGCUAAUACCGCAUACGUCCUACGGGAGAAAGCAGGGGAUCUUCGGACCUUGCGCUAUCGGAUGAGCCCAUGUCGGAUUAGCUUGUUGGUGAGGUAAUGGCUCACCAAGGCGACGAUCCGUAGCUGGUCUGAGAGGAUGAUCAGCCACAUCGGGACUGAGACACGGCCCGAACUCCUACGGGAGGCAGCAGUGGGGAAUAUUGGACAAUGGGCGAAAGCCUGAUCCAGCCAUGCCGCGUGUGUGAAGAAGGCCCUCGGGUUGUAAAGCACUUUCAGUGGGGAAGAAAGCCUUGGGAUUAAUACUCCCGAGGAAGGACAUCACCCACAGAGAAGCCG